AACGAACGCUGGCGGCAGGCUUAACACAUGCAAGUCGAGCGCCCCGCAAGGGGAGCGGCAGACGGGUGAGUAACGCGUGGGAAUCUACCCAUCUCUACGGAAUAACUCAGGGAAACUUGUGCUAAUACCGUAUACGCCCUUCGGGGGAAAGAUUUAUCGGAGAUGGAUGAGCCCGCGUUGGAUUAGCUAGUUGGUGGGGUAAAGGCCUACCAAGGCGACGAUCCAUAGCUGGUCUGAGAGGAUGAUCAGCCACACUGGGACUGAGACACGGCCCAGACUCCUAC
rnacentral:rRNA from 1 species